GCAGAGGGGCGGCCAGGUAGGUGCAGGUCGGGCAGAGCCUCAGGCUCCCAGCAGACAAUAAGGAGCCUUUUCAAGCCCUCCGCCGGGAUGCUCUUCCCAGUGACUCCCCACUCACUUGUCUCCUUCAGCCUUGGGGAGCCGGCGGGAUCCAGAGCGGGGCUCCUCUCCGCACUUUGUAGCUGCGUUGCUCCGCUCCAUGCCCUGCCUCAGCCACUCCUCCUGGUUACCAGGCAAAAGGAAACACCUUGAGCUGGCCAGGAGCUACCAGCGUCUGUCUACACCUGGGAGUUCAGUGACAUGACCAGGGCUCACUGCAACCUUGAUCCGGGCUCAAGUGAUCCUCCUACCUCAGCUUCCUGAGUAGCUAGGACCACAGGUGUGCACCAACCACACCCGACUAAUUUUUGUAGAGAUGAGAUCCCACUAUGUUACCCAGGCUGGUCUUGAACUCCUGGGCUCAGGUGAUCAUCCUGCCUUGGCUUCCCAAAGUACUGGGAUUAUAGGCUUGAGCCACCGUGCCUGGCCUGUGAUCAGAAUUCUCAUUUUUUUAGUCACUAAAAAUGCUGGGGGGCACUCCAUUCUCCAUUAUGUGAUUAGUUCACAUUGCAUGCCUGUAUCAAAACAUCAUAUAUACCCCACAAAUACAUACAAAAAACUUUAAAAUUUUAAGUAUUAAUUGCUCAGGAAAAAAUUAAAAUGCUGGGGUGCUGAAAUCUCAAGGGCCCCAUUACAAAACUCCUUGGGAACCUCACCCUCUCUCUGCUGUAAGGACUGGUUCCAGAAUGAGAGAAUUUAAAAGACAUUUCCCCCCCCAAAAUGUUCAUAAUGUCACCCCGGAAACCUGCGAAUAUGUUAUAUUACAUGACCAGGGAGAAGUAAGGUUGCAGAAGGCAGUAAGGUUGCUAAUGGGCUGACCUUAAGAUAAGGAGAUGAUCCUGGAUUAUCUGGGUGGACCCAAUGUAAUCACAAGGGUCCUUAACUGUGGAAUAGUGAGGUGGCGGAGUCAGAGGCAGAGUGAUGCAAUGAGUGAAAGACUUAACCAGCCAUCACCGGCUUUGAAUACGGAAGACGGUCAUGAGCCAGGGAAUGCAGGCAGGCUCUGGGAGCUGAAAAAAGCAAGAAAAUGGAUUCUCCCCUGGAGCCUCCAGAAGGGAUGUGGUCCUGCCAACCCCUUGUCAGUGAGCCAUUUCAGAUUUCUGACUGCCAGGACUGUAAGAAAAUAAACUUGUCUUGUUUUC
rnacentral:lncRNA from 1 species